rnacentral:misc_RNA from 1 species
UCAUCCACAAAUAUCAUGCACCAAAGAAUACACUGAUAACGUUAACUUUUGAAAGUAUAUAAAAUUGUUUAAGAGGUAUCUUAAUUAGAUUGAAUGAUAGACACUGAUGACGUGUGAAAACAAAACAGCAGAAGAAGUCACUCUCAAUCUGAUCUAACAAGAAAUGCUCCAUCGAGAAAGUGAGAUAGCUCAUUAAAAUGAGAAAACAAUCACAUUUGUG